AGUGAACGCUGGCGGUGGGCCUAACACAUGCAAGUCGAACGGCAGCACAGUAAGAGCUUGCUCUUACGGGUGGCGAGUGGCGGACGGGUGAGGAAUACAUCGGAAUCUACUUUUUCGUGGGGGAUAACGUAGGGAAACUUACGCUAAUACCGCAUACGACCUACGGGUGAAAGCAGGGGAUCUUCGGACCUUGCGCGAUUGAAUGAGCCGAUGUCGGAUUAGCUAGUUGGCGGGGUAAAGGCCCACCAAGGCGACGAUCCGUAGCUGGUCUGAGAGGAUGAUCAGCCACACUGGAACUGAGACACGGUCCAGACUCCUACGGGAGGCAGCAGUGGGGAAUAUUGAACAAUGGGCGCAAGCCUGAUCCAGCCAUACCGCGUGGGUGAAGAAGGCCUUCGGGUUGUAAAGCCCUUUUGUUGGGAAAGAAAAGCAGCAGGUUAAUACCCCGCUGUUCUGACGGUACCCAAAGAAUAAGCACCGGCUAACUUCGUG
rnacentral:rRNA from 1 species